AUUGAACGCUGGCGGCAGGCCUAACACAUGCAAGUCGAGCGAGCGGCGGACGGGUGAGUAAUGUCUGUGAAACUGCCUGAUGUAGGGGGAUAACUACUGGAAACGGUAGCUAAUACCGCAUACCAUCAGAUGUUCCCAGAUGGGAUUAGCUGGUGGGUGGUGUAACGGCUCACCUGGGCGACGAUCCCUAGCUGGGCUGAGAGGAUGACCAGCCACACGGGAACGUGGACACGGUCCAGACUCCUACGGGAGGCAGCAGGGGGGAAUAUUGCACAAUGGGCGAAAGCCGGAUGCAGCCAUGCCGCGUGUGUGAAGAAGGCCUUCGGGUUGUAAAGCACUUUCAGCGGGGAGGCGUUACCCGAAGAAGAAGCACCGGCUAACUCCGUGCCAGCAGCCGCGGUAAUAC
rnacentral:rRNA from 1 species